GGUGGCUUAGUGGUAGAGCGCAUGCCUUGCAUGCAUGAGACCCUGGGUUCGAUUCCCCAGCACCA
rnacentral:tRNA from 1 species